UUCCGGUUGAUCCCGCCGGAGGCUACCGCUAUUGGAGUUCGAUUAAGCCAUGCGAGUCGCGAGUCUUAGGGACUCGGCGUACCGCUCAGUAACACGUGGGUAACCUGCCCUAUGCUGGGGGAUAACCUCGGGAAACUGAGAAUAAUACCCCAUAGUUCACCACGCCUGGAACGGUGGGUGGACCAAAGCUCCGGCGGCAUAGGAUGGGCCUGCGGCGUAUCAGGUUGUAGGGGGUGUAAUGUACCCUCUAGCCCUCUACGCGUACGGGUGUUGAGAGACAUCGCCCGGAGAUGGAUUCUGAGACACGAAUCCAGACCCUACGGGGUGCAGCAGGCGCGAAAACUUGGCAAUGCGAGAAAUCGUGACCAGGGAACUCCAAGUGCAUCGGGUAAGACCGAUGCUUUUCUUGACUCUUCAAAGGUCUUGGAAUAAGGGGUGGGUAAGGACGGUGCCAGCCGCCGCGGUAAUACCGGCGCCCCAAGUGGUAGUCGCUUUUAUUGGGCCUAAAACGUCCGUAGCCGGUCUGGUACAUUCGUGGGUAAAUCAACCAGCUCAACUGGUUGAAUUCUGCGAGCACGGCCAGACUUGGGACCGGGAGAGGUGUGGGGUACUCUCAGGGUAGGGGUAAAAUCCUGUCAUCCUGAGGGGACCACCUGUUGCGAAGGCGCCACACUAGAACGGAUCCGACGGUCAGGGACGAAGCCUAGGGGCACGAACCGGAUUAGAUACCCGGGUAGUCCUAGGUGUAAACGCUGUGGACUUGAUGUUGGGGGCGCUCCGAGCGCACUCAGUGUCGAAGCGAAGGUGAUAAGUCCACUGCCUGGGGAGUACGGACGCAAGGCUGAAACUUAAAGGAAUUGGCGGGGGAGCACCGCAACCUGAGGAUUGUGCGGUUUAAUUGGAGUCAACGCCGGG
rnacentral:rRNA from 1 species